GAUGAAGAACGUAGCGAAAUGCGAUAAGUAAUGUGAAUUGCAGAAUUCAGUGAAUCAUCGAAUCUUUGAACGCAUCUUGCGCUCCUUGGUAUUCUGAGGAGCAUGCCUGUUUGAGUGUCAUUAAAUUCUCAACUACACUGACUUUGAAUUGGUGUGGCUUGGAUUUGGGGGGAAAAUUGUUGUGGGCUUUUUGUAUAGUCUGCUCCCCUGAAAUUGAUUAGCGGUACCUUUGUGGAACUGUCUACAGGUGUGAUAAUUAUCUACAUCUUAGACAUCUGCUGGAAUGCUGCUUUCUAAACCUUACUUGUAUUGACAAUCUUGACCUCACAUCAGGUAGGACUACCCGCUGAACUUAAGCAUAUCAAUAAGCGGAGGA
rnacentral:misc_RNA from 1 species